rnacentral:rRNA from 1 species
UACAGGGUGACAGCCCCGUACACAAAAAUGCACAUACUGUGAGCUCGAUGAGUAGGGCGGGACACGUGGUAUCCUGUCUGAAUAUGGGGGGACCAUCCUCCAAGGCUAAAUACUCCUGACUGACCGAUAGUGAACCAGUACCGUGAGGGAAAGGCGAAAAGAACCCCGGCGAGGGGAGUGAAAAAGAACCUGAAACCGUGUACGUACAAGCAGUGGGAGCCUCUUUUAUGGGGUGACUGCGUACCUUUUGUAUAAUGGGUCAGCGACUUAUAUUCUGUAGCAAGGUUAACCGAAUAGGGGAGCCGAAGGGAAACCGAGUCUUAACUGGGCGUUAAGUUGCAGGGUAUAGACCCGAAACCCGGUGAUCUAGCCAUGGGCAGGUUGAAGGUUGGGUAACACUAACUGGAGGACCGAACCGACUAAUGUUGAAAAAUUAGCGGAUGACUUGUGGCUGGGGGUGAAAGGCCAAUCAAACCGGGAGAUAGCUGGUUCUCCCCGAAAGCUAUUUAGGUAGCGCCUCGUGAAUUCAUCUCCGGGGGUAGAGCACUGUUUCGGCAAGGGGGUCAUCCCGACUUACCAACCCGAUGCAAACUGCGAAUACCGGAGAAUGUUAUCACGGGAGACACACGGCGGGUGCUAACGUCCGUCGUGAAGAGGGAAACAACCCAGACCGCCAGCUAAGGUCCCAAAGUCAUGGUUAAGUGGGAAACGAUGUGGGAAGGCCCAGACAGCCAGGAUGUUGGCUUAGAAGCAGCCAUCAUUUAAAGAAAGCGUAAUAGCUCACUGGUCGAGUCGGCCUGCGCGGAAGAUGUAACGGGGCUAAACCAUG